CCUACGGGUGGCAGCAGUGAGGAAUAUUGGUCAAUGGGCGAGAGCCUGAACCAGCCAAGUCGCGUGAGGGACGACGGUCCUAUGGAUUGUACACCUCUUUUGUCGGGGAACAAAGGCGCCCACGUGUGGGCAGAUGAGUGUACCCGAAGAAAAAGCAUCGGCUAACUCCGUUACAGCAGCCGCGGUAAUACGGAGGAUGCAAGCGUUAUCCGGAUUUAUUGGGGUUAAAGGGUGCGUAGGCGGACAGUCAAGUCAGCGGUAACAAUGCGGUGCUCAACGCCGUACAGCCGUUGAAACUGGCAGUCUUGAGUGGGCGAGAAGUAUGCGGAAUGCGUGGUGUAGCGGUGAAAUGCAUAGAUAUCACGCAGAACUCCGAUUGCGAAGGCAGCAUACCGGCGCCCUACUGACGCUGAGGCACGAAAGCGUGGGUAUCGAACAGGAUUAGAUACCCUUGUAGUC
rnacentral:rRNA from 1 species